rnacentral:rRNA from 1 species
UACGUAGGGGGCGAGCGUUGUCCGGAUUUAUUGGGCGUAAAGAGCGUGUAGGCGGUUCGGUAAGUCUGUCGUGAAAUCCUGAGGCUCAACCUCGGGCGGUGCGAUGGAUACUGCCGGGCUAGAGGAUGGUAGAGGCGAGUGGAAUUCCCGGUGUAGCGGUGAAAUGCGCAGAUAUCGGGAGGAACACCAGUAGCGAAGGCGGCUCGCUGGGCCAUUCCUGACGCUGAGACGCGAAAGCUAGGGGAGCGAACAGG